GAUGAACGCUGGCGGCGUGCCUAAUACAUGCAAGUCGAGCGAACAGACGAGGAGCUUGCUCCUCUGACGUUAGCGGCGGACGGGUGAGUAACACGUGGAUAACCUACCUAUAAGACUGGGAUAACUUCGGGAAACCGGAGCUAAUACCGGAUAAUAUAUUGAACCGCAUGGUUCAAUAGUGAAAGACGGUUUUGCUGUCACUUAUAGAUGGAUCCGCGCUGCAUUAGCUAGUUGGUAAGGUAACGGCUUACCAAGGCAACGAUGCGUAGCCGACCUGAGAGGGGGAUCGGCCACACUGGAACUGAGACACGGUCCAGACUCCUACGGGAGGCAGCAGUAGGGAAUCUUCCGCAAUGGGCGAAAGCUUGACGGAGCAACGCCGCGUGAGUGAUGAAGGUCUUCGGAUCGUAAAACUCUGUUAUUAGGGAAGAACAAAUGUGUAAGUAACUAUGCACGUCUUGACGGUACCUAAGCAGAAAGCCACGGCUAACUACGU
rnacentral:rRNA from 1 species